GCCAGCAGCUGAAAUCGCCUGACUGCGCCUUGCCGGCCAUAUCCCAUCUGAGGCAAUCUCUGCAGGCUACAAGAGAGGAAGAGAAAGUCCACGCUGUAUUCAGUAGCAAUGGUGUGUCCCAUGCUUGGCUCCCCGGGAGGAGAGUCCAUCCACUGAAGCUGCACUGAUCUGUGGGAUGUGGAUAAACAUCUGCUGAUGAGGCUGGGAUCAUCAAAGUCACUUGUCCGCUCUUCUUUGAACGCAGACCCAUGAGGAGAAUGGAGCCCCGGAGGCAACAGUUUUAUCAACUUUUCCUGUUGACCAGAUGAUGGUUCAGUGAUAAAUAAAUGGAGUGCGCUUGAGCUGGAGGCCUCCCACACACUGUCACAUCUUGCCCUUCUCCAGCUCCUGCUGUCUGCCUGGAUGCAGAGCUGUGCAGGGAAAGGGGACUGUCCUCAAAGGGCACUGCAGGCUGCACCACUGCAGGCGGGCAAGAACCGCUCUUGCCUAUCCAGGUCUCCGAGGAGCUCUGGGACAGCACAGGAGGAUGGGGCACUGCCAGCUGCUGCAUGAGAGCUGCCACGGUGGCCGGCCGGGCUCUGCAUGAGCUGGAGCCAGACACAGCGUCAGCGGGGCAAGCAGUGAGAAAUGAGCUGCCUGUACCAGCCUGAAGUCAAAGCAGAAGGAGGCAGGAGGGAAAAGUCUACACUCAGUUUUUUCCUAUUGGAUGUGUUUUAUCCCUGAUACGGCAUCCACACUAUGAAAUUCACCCUGAAUGAGAUGGGCAUUCAGGUGCUUUACCUCCAGGAGACAGGACACAACUCUCAGACUGAUUUAACUCUAGUUGGAUAGUUUUUUUUAAACCUCCGUAGGUAACAGACCUGGAAGACUUUUCCCCUCACACUGGCCUUGGCUGAACACUUGGUGGGCCGUAACAUGCGAACUCUGACCACAUCACUGGUGUGAAAUUGCUGAUUAACCUUUUGACUCUGAUGAUUGGGACUUCUCUCAACACCAACUGACAGGCUGUCUCUGACAGAAGAAUACAGUUCAUCAAAAGUGUCUGCAGGUUGUCAAACUCGGUGAGAUUUGGGGACACUCGGAGGCUGUCAUGGCCAACAAGAAGAUUUUCUGUAGGGUUCUGCCAUCAUUCACCCUCAGGAAAUAAUCACUCACUACAUUCUGCAUGCUCUCAUGAUAGAGCUCUAUUUGAGAGAAAAGAGCCAUUUUAUCAAAGGACAAUAUAUCCCUUCUCUUGGUCCAUGCAGCUUCCAUUAUCAGACCAUAAUAAAUCAUAUUUAUGUUCUCAGUUAAUAAGACUGAUUACAAUGCAGGUUACAGGCAUGGGAAAAGCAAAGCAGGUGAAAAGAUGUUUUAAUGAAAAUAUGAUAAGCAAACAGCUUCUUGUGAACAUUUCAGGCUGUUAUUUGUAAUGAUCACAGGCAAUUUUUGAUACAUCUUCUUUAGCAAUGGUUUAAGCUGCAUAAAUUGGCUUGCCACUUUAUACGUUGAAAUAGGAAGAAUCCCAGUGUCCUUAUGUUGUCUAGAAUCAUUAUAUAUAUUAUAAGCAUAAAAUGAGUUUAAUGUAUGUGCUUUGAAAAGAAGGGGAAAACAGAAAGUCAGGGAAGACUGAUUUUAAUGCUGCUCAAAAUGAUUUUGAAAUUUUCUACUCAUCUUUGUUACUAAUGGUGCAUUUUCCAUGAAAUUUAGGAAUGACAUGUACUGCUUUCAUCUCCUUAAAAUUAAUAUACUGCUCUCUCUGUUUUUCUCGAUUUUUUCAAAGUUCUUUUUAGAGCACUGUGCAAAGAGACAGAGAAAUUCUCCACUCAAUGUGUGAGCAUAUCUGCUAUUAAUGCUGAGGGGAGUUAAGUGUGUGCCUCUACAGGAGAAUAUACUCCAGUGUUCAAUACUGGGAGGUACCCUAUUAAAAAGGUGCAAGCAUGCUUAGCUCCAGCACAUGUGAUGUAUUCAAGGGCCAACUUCCUUAGAAUUUUUUUAAGUGAUUAAGGCCUUUUUUAGGUAAGGUAAAAAUUCUGAUAUUAUUUCAGCAUAUAACUGUACGGAGAGAAGUGGCUGAUGGACUGUCUUGCUCUCGUCUUGUGAAAAGUCUUCUUUUGUUAUUGUUAUGUUCAGCAUCAUACUUUCAAGAUGAAGUCAGAAAUGUAAGAAAUAAUUUCCUCCUGCUGAUAUACAAUUUUGACCAAGUAUCUGAAGUUCUACAGCACUUGCAGAACACUGGUGACAAAGACUCCUUGGUGUUGUGUGUCUGCAGGACCUAUUCUGGUCACUGGUAUUUCCCAAAAAUCACUCUUAAACAAAUUUUAAAGCUUUGUAAUUGACCUGGCCCUGGAGGAUGACCAUGAAAUUCCCUUAACCCUUUUAGGGCACUUGUUCAAGAGAAGUGCCCACACAAGAAACAGCAAACUGCAAUAUCCUGAUAUGACAACAGACGUAGAUAAUGUACUUCAUGAUGGAACUGCUUGAUACAGAGAAAAACAUGUUGUAACUGCCUUCACCGUGAAAGGGGUCUGAAAAUGCUGCCUGCCAACUCCACAAAAAACAGAGCUGCUAUUUCAGUUAAAGGCCAGUGGAUUGUAUUUUUCAUGUCAGUUUUCACUAACCUCAAACAUCACUGUUAUGACAGACUGUCAUCCACCCAAACCAGCACUCUGGUGCCAUUCAAGCAGGCAGGAAGAAAGCAAACACGCAGGAAACUUAAAAGUCCAAUUAGUAAGUGUGGGGCACAUGUGGGUGAAUUACUUUUGUGUAAUGAUACUGAUUACUGAAAAUGAAACACUUAA